CCUACGGGAGGCUGCAGUGAGGAAUAUUGGUCAAUGGGAGAGAUCCUGAACCAGCCAAGCCGCGUGAGGGAAGACGGCCCUACGGGUUGUAAACCUCUUUUGUCGGAGAACAAAACCCGGGACGUGUCCCGGACUGCGUGUAUCCGAAGAAAAAGCAUCGGCUAACUCCGUGCCAGCAGCCGCGGUAAUACGGAGGAUGCGAGCGUUAUCCGGAUUUAUUGGGUUUAAAGGGUGCGUAGGCGGUCCGUUAAGUCAGCGGUAAAAUUGCGGGGCUCAACCCCGUCGAGCCGUUGAAACUGGCAGACUUGAGUGGGCGAGAAGUACGCGGAAUGCGCGGUGUAGCGGUGAAAUGCGUAGAUAUCAGGAGGAAUACCGUUAGCGAAGGCGGCAAUCUGGCUGGAAACUGACGCUGAGGUGCGAAAGCGUGGGUAGCAAACAGGAUUAGAUACCCGAGUAGUC
rnacentral:rRNA from 1 species